rnacentral:rRNA from 1 species
GAUAAACGCUAGCGGCAGGCCUAACACAUGCAAGUCGCGGGGCAGCACAAGAGGUAGUAAUACUUCUGGUGGCGACCGGCACACGGGUGCGUAACGCGUAUGCAACCUACCCUUAACAGGGGGAUAGUCUGGAGAAAUUCGGCGUAAUACCCAAUAUCACUUUUAUUGGCAUCGAUAAUAGUUGAAAUUUGCGCAGGUUAGGGAUGGGCAUGCGUGACAUUAGCUAGUUGGUGAGGUAACGGCUCACCAAGGCAACGAUGUCUAGGGGGACUGAGAGGUCUUCCCCCCACACUAGUACUGAGACACGGACCAGACUCCUACGGGAGGCAGCAGUGAGGAAUAUUGGUCAAUGGACGGAAGUCUGAACCAGCCAUGCCGCGUGCAGGAUGACGGCUCUAUGAGUUGUAAACUGCUUUUGUACGAGGGUAAACUUGGAUACGUGUAUCCAACUGAAAGUAUCGUACGAAUAAGGAUCGGCUAACUCCGUGCCAGCCGCCGCGGUAA